AUGGAUAUCCAGGAGGGGGCUGGCAGACAAAGUCCUGGGAGGAGACAGGAGGAGCUUGGAGCAGGAGCAGCCCAGCAGGACCCAGGCCACAGCCAUAACAGUGGGACCGACUCUGGGGGACCGACCAACAUCGGUGGAGACGGAAAGCCAACAAGCCAGGGGGACGGCGAGGAUCCGGGGGACCAGGGUGGAGCUGAGGGCUCUGGCGACCGAGGCGGAGAUCCAGAGAUCCACGGUGGAGCCGGAGCAACUGAGGACCAAGGUGGAGCUGACGGGAGGAAGGAGCCCAAUGGAGCCAGAAGGACAGAGCGACGAGGCGUAGCCAGAGUAGAGGAAGCUAGGAGCUGAGGUGGAGCAGCUGGGUCUACAGGCCGAGGCGGAGUCCAGACCUUGGAGGCUGGGGGCAGAGGUGAGGGAUACUCUGACCCCGGCAACGCUGGAGGAUGGCAGUCCCACAGGGCUUGCACCGAAAUGAUGGUGGGCUGAGGGCGAGUAGAGGGGCUGCCAGACAACAGCGGUGGAGGAGGCUGGAGAACCAUGAUUCAAGAACCAACAAACACAAACUGAAAGGACUAGGGCUUAUAAAGACAGGAUAAUUGGGGAAACACAGGUGCAUGGGAUAACUAAUUAACAGGGACAUGGAACACAUGUGGAGGGAAAACACAACAUAUUGAGUCCAGGGGCAUGACAGUUAGUUUAAUUGUUAGUAAUUUUUGCUUAGUAUAGUUGAACUGGAUCAUCAAAGGUCAGCAGCAAAGACAUUAGUUAAUAAAAUGGGAUUAGAUACAUUUGUUUUAUUUAACAUAUUUAAUUAUUGCAGGUUUGCAUCAUAUUCUGAGUUUGUAUUUCACUGUUUUAAUUCAAUUUGAUGAAUACUAAAUCUGUUUUUUGCGAGUGUGAUGAAUUAAUGCACAUUCACAUUUAGUCUAGAACUACAUCACGUUCACACAGCGCACACAACGCCUCUGUACUUCCGAUUUCUCCCAAUAUGGGGACAGGAGACUUGUCAGUCAACCUUUUUUGAAAAAGUAACUCAGAUAUUUUCUUGUAAAUUAAAAAGUAAUGCGUUACUUUACUAGUUACUUGAAAAAAGUAAUCUGAUUACGUAACUCACGUUACUUGUAAAGCGUUACCCCCAACACUGUCUAUUAUUGCAUACACGUACACUUCUACAGCUUACAUUGUUUAGUGAAAAAAUAAAAGGGAAAGUGACGUGACAUACAGCCAAGUAUGGUGACCCAUACUCUGAAUUGGUGCUCUACAUUUAACCCAUCCAAGUGCACACACACACACACCCCCGGAGCAGUGGGCAGCCAUUUAUGCUGCGGCGCCCGGGGAGCAGUCGGGGGCCCAAGACUCAAACCCACAACCUUAGGGUUAGGAGUCAAACUCUCUAACCACUAGGCCACGUCUUCCCCAAAAAAGGAGGGGAAGACCUGUGCUACAGUACAACCGUUUGUGACUGAUUUAGUAGAUUUCUGAAGGCUGGAAUACACUACACAACUUUUGGCCAGAUUUUUGCCAUGAUUUACAGUCGUGGAGAAGUUGACGCAAGUUGCUGAAAGUCAGAGCUAGUCUUCAGAUUUGAGCUGACUACAUAGAAAAUCACAUAGUGUAUGAUGGACACACACUCUGACUUUUUAGCUUCAGACUCUGAUUUUAUCCAGUUGGAGGAGAUCAAACAUGUUUGAUAUUUUGAGCCGCAAAGGCGGCAAGUGUGUGUUGCCUAGUCUUUUAAAAACAGUGUUAAUAGGGUAAAUGGAUGAACCUAACCAUCUGACUUAACGUUUAUAUGCAAACACAAAUAGUAUGUGACAGG
ensembl:lncRNA